GAGGGAACUCUGAGUCUGUGACACCUGUUACCAACAGCCGGGCCGGCCGCGCCAACGCGGUGGCCAGAGUUUGCGCCGGCUGGAGAGAACAGCAGAAACAAGCUGUGAAUGAGUCUGGAGAGAGCGGCCGAUGCUGAGCCGCCAUGCUUCGCUCCACGGGCCGCCGCUUUCCAGGUUAUGAGCAUGUCUCCGAGCUCUCAGACAGAUUGCAACUGAUUUUACACACAAGCACACACACACUGUGACUCUGCGUGUGUGAAAAACGCAGGUGGACCAGCACUAAGCUCGAGUCUCUAACCUCUUUGGCAGUAAGUUAAUGAGGCUGCCACUAAUGUCACUCCACACUGAUCUGUGCUCCACUGAGCUCCACUCUGCCCCACGGCUGCCCAUUAUGUUAAAUUUUCUCAUGAACUUUCUUUGAAGUCUUUCCUAAAGUGUGUCUAUGUG
ensembl:lncRNA